GAACGCAUCUUGCGCUCCUUGGUAUUCCUAGGAGCAUGCCUGUUUGAGUGUCAUUAAACUUAACUCUAGCAGUUUUGCUUGGAUAUGAAGGAAGAGCAAGCACAUUGUAGGCUCUCCUUUGAAAUGCAUUAGUAGAUAUAAAGUUGUGAAUUACACUUGUUUUGAUGUAAUAGUCUUUAUUAGUUGUGAUUUGUAUACAGUUAUAUCUUGCUUUAACAAUUGUUUUUUUCUGGGCAGUUGAUUAUAAGAGUCAUAUGAAUCUUAUUUUAAAACACCUGCAAAAAAAUAUAAUUUUAUAGUUGACCUCAAAUCAGGUAGGGAUACCCGCUGAACUUAAG
rnacentral:misc_RNA from 1 species